rnacentral:lncRNA from 1 species
ACAGGCGAGGGCGUUCGGCGACGUUACUGGGGCUGCACGGUGCUUGUAGCUGGGCAGUCUUAUCAUCAGAGUGGAGCCUGGUAACCACGACCUCCCCGCCAGGUCCUGUGUGUUGCUAGCUGGAGAAGGGUAGUUGAAAACUCAGACCAAGCACAGUGUUUAUAUCGGUCAAAACUGGAAAACUAUGUCCGGGCGCAGCCGAGGCUGGAGGAUCCCUUCAGGCCAAGAGCAACCUAGCAAUAUGGCGCGACCGGAUCUCUGUAGUCCUACCUCAACCCCCAGCUACUUGAACCCCAAGGUUGAAGGCUCCAGUGAGCUAUGAUCCCACCACAGCAUUGCAGCCUGCCAGACUGAGACAUGAACUUAUGAAUUCAACACAUGAAGACUUACAACUUGAUAAACCAGCUUCAGGAGGCUGGAGUGCAAUGGUGCGAUCUGGGCUCACUGCAACCUCUACCUCCUGGGUUCAAGCGAUUCUCCUGUGUCAGCCUCCUGAAUAGCUGGGAUCACAGGUUCCUGAAAGGGAGAGAGGAAAUCUUCGAUUUUUCAUGGCUGUGAACCACUGCAAGUAUUGAAGAAAUAUUUACUACUUCCAGCCUCAUAAUCCUGCAGUCAUUUGGCACCUCUGAAGCCUUGGGGAGCACUGAAGCCAAGGCUGCACCGUACCAAAAAUUUGAAACAUGUGAAUGAGCUGAAUGUGGAAGGACUACCGGAAAACACUCCUUUCAGAAUCCCCUCAUUGCAUGAAAUCCCAAGGCUCGAAAACAUCUUUCAAGUGAGCAAUUGAAUUAAGUUUGUUAUUAAGAGUAACUCCAGUUAGCCUCCAUUGUCUCCAAGCCGGCUUUUGUCCUCAUCCACAACGCCUCCACACAAGCUCUGAACACCUGUCCAUGCUGUACUGUUUAUAUUUCUUGAUGGGACCCUCAAAGACUUAGCCUCUGAAAUUGAAACUCUGGAGGGUUCUGAGUCUCCCGAAACCUAAGGAAAUUUUCCAAGACAUAUCGAGAUAAGUAAAAUCCUAUAUUCAACCAAUGGCAUAUUUCCCCUAUCCUAGAAAUCACCCUCCUUCCCCUUCCCCCCGAAACUUCAGUUGGGAACCAGCUGGAGUUUAUAGCACCAGGCUUAGUGUGGAUCUCUUGACACCUCUGAAACAAGUUCCCCAUCACAUGGGAAAACUGCUCUGCCCUUCCACACCAGGCCUUGGAGCCUCUGCCAGCUUGAUGCUGAAGAAGCCUGACAUCCCCCAGGUAGGGGACAGCUGAGAUCUCUUGGGGUGUCUUGGGACCUGCUUGACUGUCCUUUUGAAGAGCGCACCUUUCCCUCAUCUGUAAAGAAGUCUGAGGGCAGAAACCAGAUGUGCUGACCUCACCUCUCACCUCUCUCCCCCUGGGCUGGAAUCCAGUGUUGCUCACUUCCUAUUCACUAGAAGCAGCUUGCCUGGGCAGGACUGGUGUUAUACUUUGUUUCAGUCAGCACAGGAAA